ensembl:lncRNA
UGAUUUCAAAAUGCUGGAAAAAGCCAGAGCCAAAGUAAAUUCCCCCAACCUCUCUCUCUCUCUCUCUCUCUCUCUCUCUCUCUCUCUCUCUCUCUCACACACACACACACACACACACACACACACACACACGAACUCUUAAACCUUGCAUAUCAGACAAGUGAAAAAAAAAAAAAAGAAAAGAAAGAAAAAGCCCAGCCUCCCAUUGCUUCACAUCGUAUAUAGAUCGAGUUCACUUCACAAACACAAGGUGCACUGUCAGAAGUGCCUUCGGCAAAGUUUGUACUUUGCUUGAAUUCUAACUUUUGUUUACCAAGGUAAUAAACCAGUCCCCUGCUGCACCAGGUGUAAAGCUAUUAUGAAAAGGCAUAUUUGUAUUUCACCCCACCUCAGAUGUACGGUAUGUGGGACAUCCUGCACUGUAAGAGCAGCCUGGGUUUAUUUACAGAGAGAGGCACCCAAGCACAGAGAGGAGUGUCUCCAGGGUGGAAAAGGCUGAGACCCUGUGAAGAACUGUUCGUCUCAUCUUCCUCUUUCCCUUCAGCCACCUGCCCCUUCAGACAACAGCCUCUGCCCUCUUUGCAGUGACAAAUCAUCCAGCCUGCCAGCGACCCUCCAGGGGCCUUUGCAGUCUCUGCGCAGGCGAGUUACUUCUUCCUGAGUUUUUUUGUCCUGAAUUUUUCUGCCAACCUGUUAUUGACAAGCUUCAUACAGCUAGAUUAGAGUGGGUAAAUGCAGCAGCUGAGGAAGCUGUCCCUACCCCGUGCCUGUAAAUCUCCAGAAGCUUUUCUUCCCCUUUCUUACAGGAACUGGUCAUACGCUGAUGGGUUAUCUGAGGCCUGAGAUGGGUGGGAGGAAACUUUCACCCAAAUCUCUGCCUGAGCGAAAUGGCCUGGAACUCACUCUAAAUCAUCUACUGAAAUCCUGGCACAGAAAGAAUGUAUAGAAAAGGGCAGAAUUCAAAUGCCAGGGCGAAGGGGGUCCCUGCACCAUUGUGGAUUCCAGGGACAGUAUCACGGUGGACAACAAACCAACACUGUCACCAGGAGGCAGGUGCAGAGUUCGAGGAGGACAAGAGAGAAGGUGCAGGAAACCCAUCCAGGGAGGACACAUCAGGAAUCUCUUCACCUCUGUUCUCUCUCCUCUCCAUUUCAUCUUUCACACUAAUCAGUUGUUAAGAGCUUCUGCGAGUCCCAAUAUUGACAGUGUGUUCUAAAAUAGCCAUAAUAUUUAUUAGGCAUGACUUCAUGCCAGGCACUGUCCUGAAUAGUUCAUGUGCUAAACAUAUGUCUUACUGCAUAGUGACCACAGAUCUGGACUGUUGGUCCCAAUGUUGCCAAUACCCAGGUGGGAGCUAUUAGAAAACUAAUUCUUGGCCGGGCAUGGAAGCUCACGCUUGUAAUCUCAGCACUUCGGCAGGCCAACACAGGUGGAUCACCUGAGGUCAGGAGUUUGACACAAACCUGACCAACGCGGAGAAACCCCAUCUCUACUAAAAAUACAAAAUUAGCCGGACAUGGUGGUGCAUGCCUGUAAUCCCAGCUACUCGGGAGGCUGAGGCAGGAGAAUUGCUUGAACCUGGGAGGCGGAGCUGGCGAUGAGCCGAGAUCACCCAUUGCACUGCAGCCUGGGCAACAGAGUGAAACUCCGUCUAAAAAAAAAAAAAAAAAAAAAAGAAAGAAAGAAAGAAAAAAGAAAACUCUCUCUUUGCUAUUUCCUUAUCUGUUGAAUGAUGAGGGAGUUCCAGUGCUGGAGGGCGAGUAGAGUAGAGACACCCUCCAUCAACUGCUUGUUGGAGUAUAAACUAGUACAACUUUUAUAAUAGGAAGAAUGCAAUGCCUAGUAAGAUUUAAAAUAUGCAUGUUCUUUGAUUAAACAACCUAACCACUAGAAAUCUAUCCUAUAGAGAUAGUAGUAAGAAUAUGUAAGGAUUCACAUGCAAGAAUGUUUGUGGCAGCAUCAUUUGUAAAAGCAAACAAGUUGGACCAUCAUAAAUGUCUAUCAGCAGAAAAAUAGCUGAAAACAUGUCUAGUCGAUGGAAUACCAGACUGCAAAUGAGAUAUGGACUUGGGAAAGUUUUUCACAAUACAUUUUAAAAUAAAAGAACAGAUCAAUAUGCAUGUCAUAAUUUAUUUUCUAUAAAUAAUGUAUGUGGAUGUAGAGGUACACAUACAUAGUUAUAAGUUACAUUUAACUUAGAAAAAUAUCUUGAUUGAUAAAUACUAACAGACUGGAGAAGGAAACUUUCACUUCUUUAAGUAAUUUUUUUAAAGGUCUCCAUAAUGCUAAUAUUUACUUUUUGUGCUUUUAGAAUGUUUGGAUGCAAAUAAGCUAACACCUGCCUUCUAAGAAAGAUGGAUCUGGAUAAGCAGGAGGCUAUUGUCCUUCCAUAACCUAACCAUUAUUUAGGUUAGUCUGAAGGCUCUUCAAACAGAGAAAGUUUGCCAUGCAGGGUGAGGAGUGCAGGGGGCGGUAUGGGAGGGAUGGAUGAGGACUAGUGAUGGGAAGGAAACAAUAGAAAAAGACAUUGAGAAGCUACGAAACUGGAGGGCCCUACACACGGUGAAGGUCUCUGAAAGCAUUCUGGGAGGAUUCACAUAGAGAAAAUGAGUUGAGUGUGAGAUGUCUGACUUGCUGCAAUGAUCUGUUCCUCUGUGCCCAACCCCAGGCACUCUCAGUAAAGUCUAUUUCACACAAACACAUGCACAAACGAAAAAAGAAUGUUUAACCAGACAAUGACAAGGGUGACUUGGAUAUCUCUAAGCUCCCUUCUAACUAAAUUUUGAGUGUCUCUGAGCCUAUUUGCCUGUCCUUAGCUGACCCCAUUUCCUUCUCACCCGUAUUUCCUAGCAGGCCUGCCAGACUACUACCAUUCAUUCUCCAAGCGAGUCAAACUGUGCACUUUUACGCCUGUUGGCUUUUACCUGUGCCUCUCUUUGGCUAGAAU